rfam:Pyrobaculum aerophilum str. IM2, complete genome.
GGGGCCGUAGUCUAGCCUGGCUAGGAUGCCGGCCUGGGGUCGGACCCCGCUAGAACGCCGGUGAUCCCGGGUUCAAAUCCCGGCGGCCCCA